CCACCGCAUCCGAGAUAUAGGGCGAGAACUUCAACUGGUUCUCGAUCUCCGAGGGCGUGAUGUUCUUGCCGCCGGAGGUGAUGAUGAUGUCCUUCAUCCGGUCUGUGAUCUUGACGAAGCCCUCGUUGUCGAUCGUGCCGACAUCUCCAGUAUGCAGCCAGCCCUUUUCAUCAAUGGUUUCAGCGGUUUUCUCGGGCUGAUU
rnacentral:misc_RNA from 1 species